rnacentral:tRNA from 1 species
GGCGACGUGGCCAAGUGGUAAGGCAAAGCUCUGCAAAAGCUUCAUUCGCCGGUUCGAAUCCGGCCGUCGCCU